GACGAGGGGUCCUAGCGUUGUUCGGAAUCACUGGGCGUAAAGCGUAUGUAGGCGGCCUUGUAAGUCAGGUGUGAAAUCCCAUGGCUUAACCAUGGAACUGCAUUUGAAACUGCAAGGCUUGAAUAUCAGAGAGGGUAGUAGAAUUCCUGGUGUAGUGGUGAAAUACGUAGAUAUCAGGAGGAACUCCGGUGGCGAAGGCGGCUACCUGGCUGAAUAUUGACGCUGAGAUACGAAAGCGUGGGGAUCAAACAGG
rnacentral:rRNA from 1 species